rnacentral:rRNA from 1 species
AAAUUGAAGAGUUUGAUCAUGGCUCAGAUUGAACGCUGGCGGCAGGCCUAACACAUGCAAGUCGAACGGUAACAGGAAGAAGCUUGCUUCUUUGCUGACGAGUGGCGGACGGGUGAGUAAUGUCUGGGAAACUGCCUGAUGGAGGGGGAUAACUACUGGAAACGGUAGCUAAUACCGCAUAACGUCGCAAGACCAAAGAGGGGGACCUUCGGGCCUCUUGCCAUCGGAUGUGCCCAGAUGGGAUUAGCUAGUAGGUGGGGUAACGGC